GCACCCGUAGUUCAGAGGAUAGAACGCAGCGUUGCGGACGCUGAGGUCGCAGGUUCAAUUCCUGUCGGGUGCA
rnacentral:tRNA from 1 species